rnacentral:rRNA from 1 species
ACGGUCCUAAGGUAGCGAAAUUCCUUGUCGGGUAAGUUCCGACCCGCACGAAAGGUGUAACGAUUUGGGCACUGUCUCAACGAGGGACCCGGUGAAAUUGAAGUACCUGUGAAGAUGCAGGUUACCCGCGACUGGACAGAAAGACCCCAUGGAGCUUUACUGUAACCUGAGAUUGGAUUCCGGUAAGAGAUGUACAGGAUAGUUGGGAGGCGGAGAAGCAAGUACGCCAGUAUUUGCCGAGCCGAUGGUGGGAUACCAACCUUGUUUUAUUGGAAUUCUAACGAGAAGUUUAACAGACUUGCGGACAGUCUCAGGCGGGCAGUUUGACUGGGGCGGUCGCCUCCGAAAGAGUAACGGAGGCGCCCAAAGGUUCCCUCAGCGCGGACGGAAACCGCGCGAAGAGUGCAAAGGCAGAAGGGAGCUUGACUGCGAGACGGACAGGUCGAGCAGGGACGAAAGUCGGGCUUAGUGAUCCGGUGGUAGAGAGUGGAAUUGCCAUCGCUCAACGGAUAAAAGCUACCCUGGGGAUAACAGGCUUAUCUCUCCCAAGAGUCCAUAUCGACGGGGAGGUUUGGCACCUCGAUGUCGGCUCAUCACAUCCUGGGGCUGAAGUCGGUCCCAAGGGUUGGGCUGUUCGCCCAUUAAAGUGGUACGUGAGCUGGGUUCAGAACGUCGUGAGACAGUUCGGUCCCUAUCCAUCGCGGGCGCAAGAGAUUUGAAGGGGGCUGCUCCUAGUACGAGAGGACCGGAGUGGACGAACCGCUGGUGUACCAAUUAUCCCGCCAGGGGUACAGUUGGGUAGCUACGUUCGGAAAGGAUAAACGCUGAAAGCAUCUAAGCGUGAAACCAGCCUUAAGAUGAGAUCUCUCAUAGAGCAAUCUAGUAAGACACCUUAAAGAAGAUGAGGUUGAUAGGUCGGGAGUGUAAGUACAGCAAUGUAUUGAGCGGACCGAUACUAAUAUGUCGAGGGCUUGACUUA